AGUGAACGCUGGCGGCAGGCCUAACACAUGCAAGUCGAACGGCAGCACAGUAAGAGCUUGCUCUUACGGGUGGCGAGUGGCGGACGGGUGAGGAAUACAUCGGAAUCUACUUUUUCGUGGGGGAUAACGUAGGGAAACUUACGCUAAUACCGCAUACGACCUACGGGUGAAAGCAGGGGAUCUUCGGACCUUGCGCGAUUGAAUGAGCCGAUGUCGGAUUAGCUAGUUGGCGGGGUAAAGGCCCACCAAGGCGACGAUCCGUAGCUGGUCUGAGAGGAGGGUCGGCCACACUGGAACUUAGACACGGUCCAGACUCCUACGGGAGGCAGCAGUGGGGAAUAUUGGACAAUGGGCGCAAGCCUGAUCCAGCCAUACCGCGUGGGUGAAGAAGGCCUUCGGGUUGUAAAGCCCUUUUGUUGGGAAAGAAAAGCAGCAGGUUAAUACCCCGCUGUUCUGACGGUACCCAAAGAAUAAGCACCGGCUAACUUCGUG
rnacentral:rRNA from 1 species